rnacentral:lncRNA from 1 species
CACGAGUCAAGCGACUUAGCAGCAGCAUCCUAAAGUGGAUGCUCAGUGGCCUAGGCUGGGCAAAGGAGGAGUUCAAGACGCUUUGGAUUCACAGAACUUGUGCUCGCUUGGAUGGGGGUGGAGGCCGGAUUGGCAAGUGCCCUGGAAAAGGAACCUGCUCUUGAACAGCCCUGGGCAGCUGCUCAGGCGCCACCCUCCCGGGCCACCAGGAGCUGGGUGGAGCCUCUGGCAGGAGGGACAAGAAAAUUCCCCACCUGACGUGGAGGAGAAGCUGAUGAUGGAAGCAUGACAUUCAUUCAAGAGCGAGGAAGAACGUGGUCUUUUUCCCCUCCCCACUUUUUCUUUGAUUGUAAACUGUAGCCCACUAAGUUCUUGGGGUGUAGUACCCUCUCACCCUCCUGCUUGUAAGCCUCAAAAUCAUCCUAUUCUAAUAAAUCAUUUCUUGUCUAUCUCUUUGCCUCUCGUUGAAUUCUUUCUGAGCUG